AUGGCUAUGGUUUGGCGGAUGCUACUGCUCUUUCUUGCAGUGCUCCACGCACAAGCCACCUCCGGAGCACACGGUGAUGGUAACCUCACUCUCCUAUGCCAUUCAGAUGAAGCAGCAACCCUCCUCCAACUAAAGAAAUCCAUCUUAUUCUCUAAAGCCAUCACCAGCCUUCCAUCUUGGCAAGACGGCAGCAACUGUUGUCAUUGGGAAGGUGUUGGCUGCGGUGGCUCCACUGGUCGUGUCACGACCCUCAACCUCAAUGGUCGUGGCUUGAUCAGCCCAGGUCUUGACCCUGUGAUCUUUAAUCUCACCUCUCUCCGAUUUCUCGACCUUAGCAUGAAUGACUUUAGCGGAAAGUCCAUGAUAAGUGGAUUUAGCGGCUAUAGCAUGCCCACUGUUGGAUUCGAGAGACUUACUUUUCUCGCCCACCUCAACCUCUCCAAAUCAGGAUUUGAGGGUGAAAUCCCUAUUGCCAUCGGCAAACUUGAGAAUCUUGUCUCCUUAGAUCUUUCUAUUGACGUGGAAGAUGACUUCCUACUGAACUCGUCAUGGAUAUCUGAUUUUCAAGGCCUAGUGGGGAACCUCCGCAAUCUGAGAGAGCUCUACCUUGAUGGUGUGGAUAUGUCUCGUAGCGGAGAAGGGUGGUGUGACACUCUAGUUAAAUCUACUCCUCGUCUUCAGGUUCUUAGCUUGGGGGAGUGUUAUCUCUACGGUCCGAUCCACCAAUCCCUUUUGAACCUCAGCUCUCUAACUGUGAUCAAUCUCCAAAGCAACAGUGAUAUCUUUGCUGGACGGUUUCCAGAGUUCUUCAUGGAUUUUGUCAAUUUAACUGUGCUUCAAGUUUAUGAUAAUAAUCUUGAGGGAUGGUUCCCUCCUAGGAUCUUCCAGUCGAAAAGACUAAGGUUCCUUGAUUUGUCUGGCAAUACAGCCCUUUCCGGGAGUUUGCUGAACUUUUCUGAUGCAAGGUCUUUACAUUCUUUGAUACUAUAUGAGACCAACUUUUCAUUUUCUAAACCAAGCUCUUUCAGCAAUUUCUUCUCAUUGCAAGAGUUAGCUCUCGAUGCAAAAUAUAUUUCUGCUGAGUUUCGCUCUUCACUCAAUAUGCUUCCCUCUUUGAGCGUAUUGUGGCUCAGUGGGUUGGGCUUCUCAGGAGAGUUAGAAUCAACAUUUUCAUGGAUUCGGGACCUGAAGAACUUGGCAGGCUUGGUACUUUUCGAAUGCGACCUCUCUAGCACAAAAUCGUCCUCCAUUAGCAACUUCAACAGCUUGAGAAGACUGAGUAUUUUCACUUGCAACCUCACUAUGCCAAUACUAUCUGCAGUUGGUAAUCUCAUGGACUUGCAAAGCUUGGUUAUAUCUGGUUGUGGACUAAGUGGGCCGAUGCCAUCUUCAAUUGGCAACCUCACAAAUUUAAGAACAUUGGAUAUCUCUUAUUGUGAUUUUCUAGGGCCAAUCCCAAUUUCAAUUGGCAAUCUCGUGAAUUUGAGAAGCCUGAGUCUAUCUUCUUCUCGCUUUUCUGGACCCAUGCCCUCUGAAAUGGGCAACAUCACGAAUUUAAGAAGCUUGCAUAUCAUUGAUUGCGGUUUUCCAGGGCCAGUGCCAUCUACAAUUGGCAAUCUCGUGAAUUUGAGAAGCAUGCAUCUAUUAUAUUCUAACUUUUCUGGGCCAAUACCGUGCACAAUUGGCAACCUCAGUAGGUUGCAAAGCAUGCAACUCGAGUGCAAGCUUUCUGGGACAAUACCAUAUGAAAUUGGGCAGCUCAAGGAGUUGACAUCUUUCGUACUUGGAGGUAACAACUUUACUGGGGAAAUACCAAAUUCUGUUGGUAAUUUGACUAAUCUGCAGUAUUUGGAUCUCUCACGGAAUUAUCUCAACGGGGAAAUUCCAGCUUCUCUCUCCAAUCUUCCAUUGCAACACUUGGAUCUUUCUCAGAACCAACUUUCUGGCCCUAUAAAGGAGUUCACGGUGGCAUCUUUGGGCUUGGAGUACUUGGACCUAGGCGUGAAUGAAUUGACUGGGCAGAUUCCAAGGUCCAUUCUUGACCUCACAAGUUUAAGAAAACUGUUUAUUGAAUGGAACAACUUGGUAGGUUUGGUGCAACUUACCUCAUUUUGGAGGCUAAGAAACCUAAUUGAUCUGAGGCUUUCGCACAAUAAAUUGUCUAUCGUGGAUGGAGAAGGCAAUAAUAACUCCUCAACCUAUCUCUCUAGAAUUUCCACCUUAGAGCUUGCGUGUUGCAACAUAACCAAAUUUCCGACUGUUUUGGCACGUGUUAGCUAUGUGCGUGAUUUGGAUCUCUCAUGCAAUAGACUCAGUGGGGACAUACCAGAUCGGAUAUGGGGGAGAUGGAACAAUAGUCUUUCAUAUUUAAAUCUUUCACACAACCUGUUCACCGGUAUGCAACUUAAUUCAUAUUUUCUCCCUUCAAGUACACUGGAAAUUCUUGAUCUUAGUGCUAAUCGUCUCGAGGGGCAGAUUCCUAUACCAUACUCGCCAUUGUUAUUUGUGGAUUAUUCACACAAUAAUUUCUCUUCUGUUCUUCCAAACUUCACUUCAUAUCUUGGUACCACAUAUCUCAGCAUGUCCAACAACAGUAUAAAUGGAUGCAUGACAGAUUCAGUUUGCAGUGGAAUUAUGGGUGUGUUUGACCUAUCCUACAACAAUUUUAGUGGGCCGAUUCCUGCCUGUCUGAUAGAAAGUGGUGGACUGAUGGUGUUAAAUUUGAGGGAAAAUAACUUUGAAGGGACGUUGCCAUCCAAAAUUACAAGUGAAUGUACUUUCCAGACAAUAGAUUUACAUGGCAAUAAGAUUGAGGGGAAGCUUCCGAGGGCACUUUCUAACUGCAGUAAGUUGGAGGUUCUUGACAUUGGAAACAACCUGUUACUUGAUACUUUCCCAUCUUGGCUAGGGGAGCUUCCCAAUCUUUAUGUUCUUAUCUUAAGAUCCAACCAAUUCUAUGGUUCGGUAGAUGAUGUUGUUGGGAAUUACCAAACCAGAGAGUACUUCCCUACCUUGCAAAUUAUUGAUCUUGCUGCGAACAACUUCUCUGGCAAUUUAAAUUCAAAAUGGUUUAGAAAAUUAAAAUCAAUGAUGAUGAGGUUCAAUAGUGCAGGAGAUAUUGUCAGUGCUAAAAACAUACCAGGUAUUCAGGCAUUCUACCAGGACACUGUAGUGAUAACAUACAAGGGCUCCGAGGUGACAUUUGGAAGGAUCCUGACCACUUUAACAGCAAUUGACCUUUCAAAUAAUAGAUUGGAAGGUACCAUUCCUGAGUCAGUUGGACAACUUGUUUCACUGCGCGUACUGAACAUGUCACACAAUGCAUUCACGGGAAAAAUUCCAACCCAGCUUGGCGGUGUGACUGAUCUGGAGUCACUAGACAUGUCUUGCAACCAACUCGCUGGGGAGAUUCCACAGGAACUCACAAAUCUCACCUCUCUGGCCACCCUGAACUUGUCCGACAACCGGUUGGUGGGGAAGAUACCGCAGUCAGGCCAGUUCCUCACAUUUGACAUCAAUUCAUUCGAAGGGAAUUUGGGGUUGUGUGGACCGCCAUUCUCCAAGCCUUGUGGCGUAUCACUUGCUCCUCCAAGCCCUGCCCGUGUGGAGAAGUCUUCUAAUGUGGAUGUCAUCCUGUUUCUCUUUGUCGGGCUGGGCUUCGGUGUUGGAUUUGCAGCUGCCAUUCUGAUGAGAUGGGGUCGAAUCAGAAAAUGGUUUGUUAAAUCUGCAAGAGCUUUGUGGACUUGA
rnacentral:rRNA from 1 species